AGUGAACGCUGGCGGUAGGCCUAACACAUGCAAGUCGAACGGCAGCACAGUAAGAGCUUGCUCUUACGGGUGGCGAGUGGCGGACGGGUGAGGAAUACAUCGGAAUCUACUUUUUCGUGGGGGAUAACGUAGGGAAACUUACGCUAAUACCGCAUACGACCUACGGGUGAAAGCAGGGGAUCUUCGGACCUUGCGCGAUUGAAUGAGCCGAUGUCGGAUUAGCUAGUUGGCGGGGUAAAGGCCCACCAAGGCGACGAUCCGUAGCUGGUCUGAGAGGAUGAUCAGCCACACUGGAACUGAGACACGGUCCAGACUCCUACGGGGGGCAGCAGUGGGGAAUAUUGGACAAUGGGCGCAAGCCUGAUCCAGCCAUACCGCGUGGGUGAAGAAGGCCUUCGGGUUGUAAAGCCCUUUUGUUGGGAAAGAAAAGCGGCAGGUUAAUACCCCGCUGUUCUGACGGUACCCAAAGAAUAAGCACCGGCUAACUUCGUG
rnacentral:rRNA from 1 species